rnacentral:rRNA from 1 species
UACGUAGGGUGCAAGCGUUAAUCGGAAUUACUGGGCGUAAAGCGUGCGCAGGCGGUUCCGCAAGUCAGAUGUGAAAUCCCCGGGCUUAACCUGGGAACUGCGUUUGAAACUACAAGGCUAGAGUGUGGCAGAGGGGGGUGGAAUUCCACGUGUAGCAGUGAAAUGCGUAGAGAUGUGGAGGAACACCGAUGGCGAAGGCAGCCCCCUGGGUUAACACUGACGCUCAGGCACGAAAGCGUGGGGAGCAAACAGG